rnacentral:rRNA from 1 species
GAUGAACGCUGUCGGCGUGCCUAAUACAUGCAAGUCGAGCGAACAGAUAAGGAGCUUGCUCCUUUGACGUUAGCGGCGGACGGGUGAGUAACACGUGGGUAACCUACCUAUAAGACUGGGAUAACUUCGGGAAACCGGAGCUAAUACCGGAUAAUAUUUCGAACCGCAUGGUUCGAUAGUGAAAGAUGGUUUUGCUAUCACUUAUAGAUGGACCCGCGCCGUAUUAGCUAGUUGGUAAGGUAACGGCUUACCAAGGCGACGAUACGUAGCCGACCUGAGAGGGUGAUCGGCCACACUGGAACUGAGACACGGUCCAGACUCCUACGGGAGGCAGCAGUAGGGAAUCUUCCGCAAUGGGCGAAAGCCUGACGGAGCAACGCCGCGUGAGUGAUGAAGGUCUUCGGAUCGUAAAACUCUGUUAUUAGGGAAGAACAUACGUGUAAGUAACUGUGCAUGUCUUGACGGUACCUAAUCAGAAAGCCACGGCUAACUACGUGCCAGCAGCCGCGGUAAUACGUAGGUGGCAAGCGUUAUCCGGAAUUAUUGGGCGUAAAGCGCGCGUAGGCGGUUUUUUAAGUCUGAUGUGAAAGCCCACGGCUCAACCGUGGAGGGCCAUUGGAAACUGUAAAACUUGAGUGCAGAAGAGGAAAGUGGAAUUCCAUGUGUAGCGGUGAAAUGCGCAGAGAUAUGGAGGAACACCAGUGGCGAAGGCGACUUUCUGGUCUGUAACUGACGCUGAUGUGCGAAAGCGUGGGGAUCAAACAGGAUUAGAUACCCUGGUAGUCCACGCCGUAAACGAUGAGUGCUAAGUGUUAGGGGGUUUCCGCCCCUUAGUGCUGCAGCUAACGCAUUAAGCACUCCGCCUGGGGAGUACGACCGCAAGGUUGAAACUCAAAGGAAUUGACGGGGACCCGCACAGGCGGUGGAGCAUGUGGUUUAAUUCGAAGCAACGCGAAGAACCUUACCAAAUCUUGACAUCCUUUGACAACUCUAGAGAUAGAGCUUUCCCCUUCGGGGGACAAAGUGACAGGUGGUGCAUGGUUGUCGUCAGCUCGUGUCGUGAGAUGUUGGGUUAAGUCCCGCAACGAGCGCAACCCUUAAGCUUAGUUGCCAUCAUUAAGUUGGGCACUCUAAGUUGACUGCCGGUGACAAACCGGAGGAAGGUGGGGAUGACGUCAAAUCAUCAUGCCCCUUAUGAUUUGGGCUACACACGUGCUACAAUGGACAAUACAAAGGGCAGCGAAACCGCGAGGUCAAGCAAAUCCCAUAAAGUUGUUCUCAGUUCGGAUUGUAGUCUGCAACUCGACUACAUGAAGCUGGAAUCGCUAGUAAUCGUAGAUCAGCAUGCUACGGUGAAUACGUUCCCGGGUCU